UAGAUUAAGUGCUAAUCUGUCGAAAGACAGGGGCGCAAAGCCACAGAAUCUAUGGUGUUCACCAACACUAUGACAGCCUGGUUACGGCA
rnacentral:ncRNA from 1 species